AGAGUUUGAUCCUGGCUCAGGAUGAACGCUGGCGGUAUGCUUAACACAUGCAAGUCGAACGCAGUCUUCGGACUGAGUGGCGGACGGGUGAGUAACGCGUGAGAAUCUGGCCUCAAGUCGGGGAUAACGACUGGAAACGGUCGCUAAUACCGGAUGUGCCUAAGGGUGAAAGCUUUAGUGCCUGAGGAUGGGCUCGCGUCUGAUUAGCUAGUUGGAGUGGUAACGGCACACCAAGGCGACGAUCAGUAGCUGGUCUGAGAGGAUGAUCAGCCACACUGGGACUGAGACACGGCCCAGACUCCUACGGGAGGCAGCAGUGGGGAAUUUUCCGCAAUGGGCGCAAGCCUGACGGAGCAAUACCGCGUGAGGGAAGACGGCUUUUGGGUUGUAAACCUCUUUUGUCAGGGAAGAAGAUCUGACGGUACCUGACGAAUCAGCAUCGGCUAACUCCGUGCCAGCAGCCGCGGUAAUACGGAGGAUGCAAGCGUUAUCCGGAUUUAUUGGGCGUAAAGCGUCCGCAGGUGGUUAUACAAGUCUGCUGUUAAAGCGCGAGGCUUAACCUCGUACAGGCGGUGGAAACUGUAUGACUAGAGUAUGGUAGGGGUAGCGGGAAUUCCCAGUGUAGCGGUGAAAUGCGUAGAUAUUGGGAAGAACACCAGCGGCGAAAGCGCGCUACUGGGCCAUAACUGACACUCAUGGACGAAAGCUAGGGGAGCGAAAGGGAUUAGAUACCCCCUGUAGUCCUAGCUGUAAACGAUGGGUACUAGGUGUUGACCGUAUCGACCCGGUCAGUGCCGUAGCUAACGCGUUAAGUACCCCGCCUGGGGAGUAUGCACGCAAGUGUGAAACUCAAAGGAAUUGACGGGGGCCCGCACAAGCGGUGGAGUAUGUGGUUUAAUUCGAUGCAACGCGAAGAACCUUACCAGGGCUUGACAUGUCCGGAGCCUUCUUGAAAGGGAAGGGUGCCUUCGGGAACCGGAGCACAGGUGGUGCAUGGCUGUCGUCAGCUCGUGUCGUGAGAUGUUGGGUUAAGUCCCGCAACGAGCGCAACCCUCGUUUCUAGUUGCCAUCAUUAAGUUGGGCACUCUGGAGAGACUGCCGGUGACAAACCGGAGGAAGGUGGGGAUGACGUCAAGUCAGCAUGCCCCUUACGUCCUGGGCUACACACGUACUACAAUGCUGUGGACAAAGAGUUGCGAGCCAGCGAUGGCAAGCUAAUCUCAUAAACCACGGCUCAGUUCAGAUUGCAGGCUGCAACUCGCCUGCAUGAAGGCGGAAUCGCUAGUAAUCGCAGGUCAGCAUACUGCGGUGAAUACGUUCCCGGGCCUUGUACACACCGCCCGUCACACCAUGGGAGUUGGCCACGCCCGAAGUCGUUACUCCAACCGGAAGGAGGAGGACGCCGAAGGCAGGGCUGAUGACUGGGGUGAAGUCGUAACAAGGUAACC
rnacentral:rRNA from 1 species